UACGAAGGGGGCUAGCGUUGUUCGGAAUUACUGGGCGUAAAGCGCACGUAGGCGGCUUUCUAAGUCGGGGGUGAAAUCCUGGAGCUCAACUCCAGAACUGCCUUCGAUACUGGAGAGCUUGAGUCCGGGAGAGGUGAGUGGAACUGCGAGUGUAGAGGUGAAAUUCGUAGAUAUUCGCAAGAACACCAGUGGCGAAGGCGGCUCUCUGGACCACUACUGACGCUGAGGCGCGAAAAGCGUGGGGAGCGAACGAGG
rnacentral:rRNA from 1 species